CCUGGUCCUUCAGAGUCCUCCUUGUACAGGUCUGACUGAGGUCCUGGUCCUUCAGAGACCUUGUACAGGUCUGACUGAGGUCCUGGUCCUUCAGAGUCCUUCUUGUACAGGUCUGACUGAGGUCCUGGUCCUUCAGAGUCCUCCUUGUACAGGUCUGACUGAGGUCCUGGUCCUUCAGAGUCCUCCUUGUACAGGUCUGACUGAGGUCCUGGUCCUUCAGAGUCCUCCUUGUACAGGUCUGACUGAGGUCCUGGUCCUUCAGAGACCUUGUACAGGUCUGACUGAGGUCCUGGUCCUUCAGAGACCUCCUUGUACAGGUCUGACUGAGGUUCUCCUUCUGGGAUCAAUAAAGGAUCUUAUAAUGUUUUAUAUAUUUAUAGUUGUAUAUAGUUAAACAUAUAAAGUAUUUAUUGUGUUUAUAUAAUAAUUAUAUCGUUAUAUAA